UACGUAGGGGGCAAGCGAUACUCGGAAUCACUAGGCGUAAAGCGCAGGUAGGCGGUUUGGUAAGUCUUUUGUGAAAGCUCCCGGCUUAACUGGGAGAGGUCAAGGGAAACUACCGGACUAGAGUGUGGUAGGGGAUACUGGAAUUCCUGGUGUAGCGGUGAAAUGCGUAGAGAUGUGGAGGAACACCGAUGGCGAAGGCAGCCCCCUGGGCUAACACUGACGCUCAUGCACGAAAGCGUGGGGAGCAAACAGG
rnacentral:rRNA from 1 species